GGAGCUGUCGCAUAGUGGCCUAGUGCGCCUCCCUGCUAAGGAGGUUGGGGUGUUCGCCCCUCGCGGGUUCAAAUCCCGCCAGCUCCGCCA
rnacentral:tRNA from 1 species